ensembl:lncRNA
AAUUUUCCUUAAUAAUCAUGCUGGAUAACAUGAAUGGUUUGGUGUGGAUGAAAUAUUUUAUUUUCUAUUCCUAUUAUUAGUACUUUUAUUUGCUUUACUCUACUAAGGAGUGUACUUCCUUUAUUGUAUGUCCAAUUAAGUUUAUCUACCAUAUGUAUGGUGAUUUUUCUCUUGUACUAAGGUGAUGUAGCUACUAAACAAAAAGGUUAUAAUGGCACAUUUAUAAAUAAUUUGUUCUGAGACAGCUCACAGAUGGUGCGAAUGAGAACACAAACUCGUUUAAAAUAUUAGUUACUGUUAUAAAUACGAUUAUAGUUCAUUGAUGUAAGUUACUCCUUCCAUUACGUAUUGAUGUGGAUGUCUUUAUCUGCUUCAUCUGAAUAAAGCGAAAUUAGAUGGACAAAUGAAUCAAGUUUUUGGGAUUUAUUAUCAGCAGGCCAUUUAAUUAUUUAGGAAAUAAGAAUGAAACAAUAUUAUCAUAUAAAGCAGCGUGAUUGUGUUUUGAAAUGUUGCCAUCUAGUGGAGGAAACAGAUUUUUCAAUGACACAGAAAAUUGCAACCGGUACCAUUGCAGUAUUACCAAAUAUGAAAAAGAGGGGCNCACACAUAUAUAUAAACAUAGGCAUGGUAGGAUGAAAGCAUGAAGGAUGAAGCAUUUAUUUUUUAUGCCUAAAGCGAUGUCUUUUGCCCUCAUGUGGCUGUGAGAUAAAACACAACACCUUCAGAUGAAUUAAAUAACCCUCUAAUAGCCUGUGAGAAAAGUUUUACUGAGCUGAGAGAGAGAUAUUAAGCAUUACAAAAAUUCAGUUAAAAUCCGAAUGAGUCUAGUUCUCAAAUUCCAAAUAAAAACGUUUUUUUCUUCAUAGAAUCUCAACACUUUAUGAGCCCUUAUGAUAUCAUAUUGGAAUUGAGAAUGUGUAUUGUGUUAUUAUGGGACAGUGGCUAUCUUGUGGAGAGAAUGCAGAGGGAGGAGGUGAGUGUGUGCAUGGGGUCAAUCCCUGUACAACACUGACACCCACCGAUCCUCAUCCUGACGGGACGCCUGAGGAGGCGGAAAGGAGAGAGGGGGAGACAAGACAGAGAAGAAGACACAGAAAAAGAGGAGGUUCUGAGGGUUCCUCUUUCUUCUGUUGUUUGGCUCCUCGUCUCAAAUCCACCAAAGCUCAGGGACGUCGCCCUGCACAUGCAUGA